GGUGGAGGAGCCCUGAGUACUGAUGGCAGGAGGACAUGUAAUCGUACACCUGAGAGCAUCGCGUGUGGCUCGGUCGUUGAUAGAGCAGAUUUGAUUUUGUUUGGUUAAGUCAUUUGUUUGUGUUGGGUAAAGAGCCACAGGUGAAAGCCAGAGCGGCACUUUCUCCCGAUUUUCCAGUUUGAAAGUUACAGGAGCAGCUGACAGAUGACUGGAUUUCAGUCGAAAAAACGUUUCUGGCAAUCUUUAGUCGACUCCGAUGGAAUCACAUGAAGUCAAAUGUAUUUCAGCCGAAUGGAGGCAACAGAUGUUCCUCUGAUUUGUCACCGAGCUGUUCACACAUCCACCAGCAGGCGCGACACACUCGCCCCCAUUCUUAACUAUGACGAACAAACCAAAACAGCACAUCCCACACAGCAACAACUGUUACCAGUUGGUGGCAUCCAGACUGCAGGCAUUACUCUUACUAAUAAGCCCUGUCAAAGUGGAGCACACCACACAUCCAUCUACCUUGAACGUCUAAACACGCAGGGCGGUGCCUGUUCAUCUCCACACUGAGGCAAUAUAAAUGGUCUUUCCCUAGAAAUGUAACGACACGUUGCGGCGAUGCAGACCGCAACAACUGUGAUUGGUCCACUCCGCAGCAUGUAGGUUCCAUGUCUCUCAGUGGUCGGACAAGCACAGAAAAACUUCCAACUGUGGUCCUACACACCAUCUGCCCUCUUUUCUGUGGAGUAAUUUCAGUAAAAGUGACUGUGGUUCAACGUUUAUCAGCUCCAACUCCAACAUGAUCUGCUCAGUUUCAGGUGCCAUUGUUUGCAGUACACACACAGUGACAUAGAAACCCCACCACCGAGUACCGUUUGCAGAGCACAGGUAUAAAUGCUCGCAAUGGCGUCUGCAAGGAUCCUACGAAGAUGUAUAAACCAGGCUUAACGAGUCUCCAUAUUCAGUCUUUUUAGGGGGUAACUGAUCCAAAUUGGUACAGUUCCUAUAAUAUGUAAAAACAAUGGACUAUCACAUAUUUUAUUGUUGUACAAAAGUCCAGUGAGGAUUAUAAAAGCAGUAUAAAUUAAUCCUUAAUAAAACACAUAACGUAUUUAAAAGAAAUUAUAAGGACCAUUUUAAGGUUAGAUUAUUUCUUACAUACAUUUUUAAUUGAUUAUUUAUGUAUUUGUCAACAAGUAUAACCCUCGUCUGUGACUGGUGUAAAAUCAGUUUAUGAAUGAUUGAUAACACAGUAAAACAUAGCUGUAGUCAUAAUAAAUCAUGUUACAAAUCCA